CCGCUCGCCGACGAGGAGAUCCUCGGCUACAUCCUCGCCGGGCUCGGUCCGGAAUACGAGCCUCUCGUCGCCUCCAUCACCGCACGCGACGAACCGGUGACACUUAACAUUUUUUAUGCUUAUUUCCUUAGUGCCGAGC